AAAAAGACAAACCCUACGUUUUCGUAUCCAACGUUUGACUGUUUUUUCGUCUUAUAUGAAAUUUUUUUAUAAUUAGUAUUUUCAUUGUUGUUAGAUGAUAAAACAUGAUUAAUACUUUAUGCGUGACUUGUCUUUUUUUUCAUAUUUUUUUCAAAUAAGAUGGACGGUCAAACAUUGGACAUGGAAACUCAGGGUUUGUCUUUUU
rfam:Oryza barthii chromosome 1, whole genome shotgun sequence.